rnacentral:rRNA from 1 species
CCUACGGGCGACAGCAGUGAGGAAUAUUGGUCAAUGGACGAGAGCCUGAUCCAGCCAAGUAGCGUGAAGGAUGACUGCCCUACGGGUUGUAAACUUCUUUUAUAAAGGAAUAAAGUGAGGCACGUGUGCCUUUUUGUAUGUCCUUUAUGAAUCAGGCUCGGCUAACUCCGUGCCAGCAGCCGCGGUAAUACGGAGGAUCCGAGCGUUAUCCGGAUUUAUUGGGUUUAAAGGGCGCGUAGAUGGGUUGUUAAGUCAGUUGUGAAAGUUUGCGGCGCAACCGUAAAAUUGCAAUUGAUACUGGCAGUCUUGAGUACAGUUGAGGUAGGCGGAAUUCGUGGUGUAGCGGUGAAAUGCUUAGAUAUCACGAAGAACUCCGAUGGCGAAGGCAGCUUACUAAACUGCGACUGACAUUGAUGCUCGAAAGUGUGGGGAUCAAACAGGAUUAGAUACCCGAGUAGUC